ensembl:lncRNA
AAUAAUGCCAUACCCAUGGCAUGUGAAAUUUCCCAGGCCAAGGAUCAAACUCCCACAGUAGUUGCGGCCUAUACUAUAGCUGUGGCAGUGCCAGACCCUUAACCUGCUGCAUCACACAGGAACCUCCAGCACAUUUUUUUUUUUAAGGAAAAAUGAAGAAAUUUAAAACCACCAAAAAGCCUGCUUUCAACAGAUAUGACAGUUUCACACAUACAUAUAUAUCUUUUUCCCACUUAAUGUUGCAGCCACACUGGCCUCCUCACAUCUCUUCCACAGUUAUGUUCCCUGGUGCCCUAGUGCCUUUGCAUGUGCUGUCUCUUCUACCUAGAAUGCACUUUGACUGCUGCAGGGAAGCAAAAGAUCUUGGCCUAUAUAAUGAUUGAUUCUACUUCCAAAUCCUUCCUAAGUUCUAGCCCAGAAGUCUGGCAGCAUAAAAUUGUACUUCCUUAAUAUACAAUUAAAGAUGUUUAUCUUAGUAUGAGACCAGGAAGCUUAAUAACAACUCUUCCCGGUUUGCUUAGUGAAACUGAAGUUAUUCAUGUCCCAUGAGAGCAGAUUAAUAAACAUUUAUUCAGUACACUUUUCUUCACAUGCAAGAAGCCCAUCCCUUACCCUUUCCUGAGCCUGAAAACCUACUUUUUCUCAACUAAAGAUGUAGGUAUCUAUAAACCUUACCUUUAUUAAAGGAGAAUUUGAAACAUAAUGGGCCCUUGUAACCUCACCCCUGUCUUUAUAACCUGCCUAGUACUCUGGUUGCCUUAGACGUGGGUCCCUCUCUUGCUCCAUCCAGGGAGUACGUGCUCCUGAGUUUAGGCUCUGGACCAGUAGCAUAAGCAUCACCUGGGAACUUGUUAGAAAUGUAGAUUCUCAGCCCCACCCCAGGUAUAGCAAUGUGUUUAUAAAUAAGUUCUCCAGGUGACUCCUACAUGUGCUAAUAAGUUUGUGCUAAUAAACUCGAAGAUAAAGUUUGAGAGUGCUUCAGGAAUGGGAAGCUUCAGGAAUGGGAGCAUUCUUAUCUCUGGAUUCCAGCCUCAGGAUGUUCUCAGACUUCCUGACCAGCCUGACUGCCUGGAUGUUUGCAUACUGACCAAUGUUAAGUCUUUGUAGUUACACAUAGCAGCCUGUUAGCAAACCCUCAUGACCUCUUACCGAACUUCCUGAUGCUGGCUGUUUUCUUUGACUAACAUAAGUCAUCAUAGCCUGUGGUGUUUCAAAUUAUUGUAGCCUGACUGGCUAGGUUUUACCUCAGCAGCUGAAACAGUGUUGAUUUAACCUCUCCAUCAUUUGUCUCCAAUGGAUUUUUCUUGCCCAAGGUUCUAGCCCUUUUGGGUCUCCUUAGGUUCACCCUAUCAUUUCUGGUCUUGACAAAAGAUUUGAUACGUGGCAGUGAGAGGGACUCUUAGAAUUCCUAAUUAGGGAGUUCUUGUUGUAGCUCAGCAGGUUACAAACCUGACUAGUAUCCAUGAGGGUGCGGGUUUGAUCCCUGGCCUCGCUCAGUGGGUUAGGGAUCUGGCGUUGCCAUGAGCUGUGGUGUAGGUCACAGACCAGCUGGAAUCUCGAGUUGCUGUGGCUGUGGUGUAGGCUGGCUGCUUCAGCUCCAAUUUAACCCCUAACCUGAGAACUUCCUUAUGCUGCAGGUGUGGCCCUAAAAAGCAAUAAAUAAAUAAAUAAGAAUUCUGAAUUAAAGUCCAAAGUACCAAUAACACAUCAAAACACACGAUUGCUUAGGUUGUUUAGAAUUCAUGUAAAGGAGAAAGGGCAGAGAGAGAUUUUUCACUAACUAUCUAUUUAUAUUCUUUAAAUAAAUCGAUAAACGUGUUAACCUGCUCAAAAAUAAAUUGUUUUUAAUUAUUCUGAAAAAAAUGCAGAGUAACAAUAGGAAUGGUCAGGGAAAGCUUCCUGGAAGAAAUGAGUUAUAAGCCUCAUCUAGAAUGGUAUAAGGAGCAAAGAUGAAUGGUGAAGGGCAGGCAAGGCAUUUCAGAUGAGAAAGGAAGAGGAGUGAGCAAGCAAAUGCAGACUGUGCAGAGAACUGCCAGCAGAGUGAAGAGGCAGUGCUGACUGGCAUCCUUUCACUAAAACAUGCUGGUUUUGACAACUCCUCUAGGUUAUGGAAUUCCACUGAGAGAUGGAGAUGAGAAAACAGAUGAAGAAGCGGAUAGGCCAUAUUCAGAUGAUGAGAUGUUAACACACAAAGGGCUACGAAGAUCACAAAGCAUGAAAUCUGUGAAAGCCGUGAAAGGCCGAAAAGAGGUGCGGUAUGGGUCACUAAAAUACAAAGUGAAGAAAAGACCACAAGUGUAUUUUUAGUCAUGUAGACUUCAAGUAUCCCAAGACAAAUUAUGCUAAUAUAUCAACUUUUUUUCCUAACAUCCUAUAUUCAGGAUUUAUACAUUAAAAUAAUUCUUUAAAUUGUAGUGGUGAUAGGGUUUACUUUUAUUGUUUUAAAUAGUUUUUAUGUCUAACAAUUACUUCCAAAUCUUGACUACUAAAAUAAGUUAUGCGAAGUGGAUAGGAAUAUCAGAAAAAAACAGAAAAUUAUGCUAUUUUCAGAUUCCUCAAAAAUACUGAGUGCCUAGGAUAUAAGAUGAAACACAAACCCACAGUAUACUUGAAAAGAGUCUUUUUAUGGUUCAAGAUACACCAGCCUUUGUGAUACUGUAUUGUGCUUACCUCCAUUUGUGUUUUACCUAUCACACGAGGUUAGUAAUUGAAGAGGCCUCUGAUCCAGCAGCGAUAUAUGCAGGACAAGGGUCUAUGUAAGAUAAAAUAUGUUUUGUAUAUUCUUUACAUUUUUACUUUGUUACUACCUUCUAGUUUUUCCACCAUAAACUGAAAGCUUUUGAAACAAAUAUUUGAAAACCAGGUAUUUACAUAGCACUUUUAUUCCUGACUAGUUUUGCACACUUGAAAAUUGUUUACUUAUUUUACAAUUGUACAUUUAUAUUAGUUUUUUUUUUUAACUCUGUUAUUUGUCACAUUCAGAUGCAUCAAAUUUAUGCCUUGAAUUACAUCAUCUCUUUUUCCUGUGGGUUUCAUUAGUUAUAUUCAUUUAGUUUUAAUAAUAAAAAAAUAGAGUUUAUUGUUCAAUUUUAACUGUUUUUAUCUUCUUUACAGAUAAGAAUUUAUUUUAAACAUUCACCAGCUUCCCAUAUUUAGCCCUUCAUUGUAGUUGAAUUUAGCAUGUGUUUGUUAACACUGGUUACAUUUUCAGCUUUUAACCGUGAUAGCUUUUGUGAAAUAUCAGAGACCAGUAUAGCAUUUAGGUAUCUUCUAAUACAUGAAAUCAUCCAACAGCCAGUCCAUUCACAAGUUUGGCACUGAUGCAAGCUGCUGAUUUAUAAAUCUGGCAUUGACCAGAACCAUUUGAGUCACUUCACUUCUGGCUAAGAUAAUUUCCUGAAGGUCCAUGCCAAUGCAAAAUACAAAUGUUGUUAAUCUUACAUAUCAGAAGUUACUAGAAUAGAUUUGAGGCAAAUCCUACCCUUUUAACCCAAGAAAUUUUGAGUUACUGAACUGUGAGGCCUUUUAGGUAUCAUAGAUAACUAUACAUUAUGAACUCUAAGUCAACAUAAUUCCAAUGAUGAUUUUAGGGAUCAGUCAUCAAAUUCAUAUGAUUAUACUUAUUCAGAUAAUUCACUUGAUGGUUCCACUUGUUUGUCCAAAAACAAAAAACAGAGAGAUUUGUGAAGUCUUUGACCUUUCAACCCUUUGAGAAAUGAAGCCAUGGCAAUGUAUAUUCAGGACCUCCUCAUAUUGGUAGAAAACAGACUGUUUACUCAAUAGUACCUUUAUGUAAUAAAUACAUUUCUCUUGAUAAAUGUCUUAAAAUGUUAACCUCCAGAUUAUCUCUCAUUCUGGGUAAGUAACACUGAGUAAAAAUUUAUUCAAUUAGUUUUCCCACAAAGUUUAUUUCUAUGAAUAUCUUCAUGUUCAUUACCUUGACUAAUUUUAAGCCCCUCAGUUUCUGGAAAGGCUCUUUAAUUUGUAUUCAAAAUUCCUAUGCAUUUUGACUAUAAACUUUUAGGAGAGAGUUUUAUUUAUAUUGCCUAGUACCAGACUUACCAUAUAAAUGCUACUAUGUAUGCCAUGCUUGUCCUUCCUACACAGGGGCAAUGUCAUCUCAUAUUGCCUGACAGGGUCAUGUAAGUGACUUUGUAUCAAAAACAUUACCUUUGGGGGCUGAUUGGCACCAUUGUAUUUUUCCAAGUCUAAUUUCAGUAUUAAACUUAUUCUUUAAUUAUAGUAAACUCAUAAAUACUGUCCUAAAUUGGAGGAAUUAUUUAUCACUUUACACUUCUAGAAUCAAAACAUUUAAUCAAGGGUAACACCAGUUUCAAAGAGAUAAUGCAAGUCUUUCUGCUUAAUAUAUCUCUUUAUACUCACAAAGCUCCCUCUGAUUUAUUUCUGUUGUACCCUAUAUAGAGUCAACAUCAUUUUCCCUUCUUUCCUUUCCAGUAUUUCUUAAAUUUUGCUUCUUUUAUAUAUGUUUUAGCAUGCCCUUCCUUUGAACUUUGUGUAACACGCUUAUACAUUUUUGUUUCUUUUAAGGUAGAACAGGUUAUUAUUUUUUGUUUUCUCAUCUAAUGCUUUUAGAAGAGGUAAAUUUAUCCCUCGACCACAGUGCCUUGCCUCCCACCACCACCACUUGGUGAAUGGGCAUUAGAUGCUGCACAGCCUUUAGGGCACUAUUUUGGUAACUGUUAAAAGUUUAUCCAGAAAUUGUAGCUGCUGUUUUAUUUUAUUACAUAUUUAUCCAACUUGUUCAUGAAUAUUAAUAUGAGUUUGUCUGGAAGUAAGAAUUGAUUUGUUCUUUAAUUUACCAUAUAUUUUUUUCUGGUAUAAAAUGAGCUGGAAAUAAGCCUUAUUGCUAACUAAUUAAUUAUGUAAACCCACCUAGACCCACAAGAUUUCCUCCACACACUUCACUACAUGUAUAUUUAUUUGGCUAGAAAGUGAGGCUGCUAGCAUUACUAAUUACAAAUACUUUACUACACAGAUUAACGGAACAAAAUUCUUAGUGUUUUCAGGGAACUUAAUCUAUAUGUCACCACCAAAGAUUUCUACAGUGUUAUAAAGUAUGUAAAUAUUCCAAAUUUCUGUAAAACUUUGAUUAGAUAAAUAUAUUUUCUUUGGGUUUAUUUUUUGAAAUAACAGUUUGUGCUCUAGAAUGCUUGAAUUUUUGUGUUAUUAAAAAUAAUAUAACACUAUCAUAUUAGAUACCAGUAAUUUGUAUUUUUAAUUUGAAUGGACUAAAUUUUUAUUUUGAUUUUCUUUUAUCACAACAGUAGGUUAAGAAAAAUACAUAAAUAAUAAAAUUUUAAAAAAGAAAUGUUAAGGAGCUAAUAUGUAUUGAAAAGUAAUUUCUUACAUUUUCUCCAGUCUAAGUUGGUUCAUUUACAAAACAAUUAGGUUAAUUUUGAAAAGAUCAUUGAUAUUGUGGUAUGCAGUGUAUAAUUCUUAGUAAACAUUUAAGAGUAAAGCUUUCUGAAAGGAAAUUACAGCUUUUUUCUCUUAACGUUUUUAAGAUUUACUCUUCUAGUAGUAUCCUACAGAUUUAAUGUACUGUUUAAACAUUGAACAUGAAUUAACAUUUUCUCUUCUAACACUUUAAAUCUAUGUACUUUGUAGUUAAGAGAAAGCAGUUUUGCAAUUUUUUAACCUCUUUGUAAAGGUUUUCUUUAGGCCUAGUGUGGGGAUAAUUUUACAAAUGUGUUUUUUUGAAAACUUUAAUAUAAAAUAAACUCAUUUUAUUAGUAA